rnacentral:rRNA from 1 species
UACGGGGGGGGCAAGCGUUGUUCGGAAUUACUGGGCGUAAAGGGCUCGUAGGCGGCCAACUAAGUCGGAUGUGAAAUCCCCAGGCUUAACCUGGGAACUGCAUCCGAUACUGGAUGGCUUGAAUUCGGGAGAGGGAUGCAGAAUUCCAGGUGUAGCGGUGGAAUGCGUAGAUAUCUGGAGGAACACCGGUGGCGAAGGCGGGUAGCUGGGCCAACACUGACGCUGAUGCGCGAAAGCUAGGGUAGCAAACGGG